GAUCGGUACGGGUUGUGAGAGCAAGAGCCCGGAGAUGGAUUCUGAGACACGAAUCCAGGCCCUACGGGGCGCAGCAGGCGCGAAAACUUUACAAUGCGAGAAAUCGUGAUAAGGGAACCCCGAGUGCCCGUAAAUUCGGGCUGUCCGCCAGUGUAAAUAACUGGUGAAGAAAGGGCCGGGCAAGACCGGUGCCAGCCGCCGCGGUAAUACCGGCGGCUCGAGUGGUGGCCACUAUUACUGGGCUUAAAGCGUCCGUAGCUGGAUUGUUAAGUCUCUUGGGAAAUCCACCGGCUCAACCGAUGGGCGUUCAGGAGAAACUGGCAAUCUAGGGACCGGGAGAGGUGAGAGGUACUCCAGGGGUAGGAGUGAAAUCCUGUAAUCCUUGGGGGACCACCUGUGGCGAAGGCGUCUCACUAGAACGGCUCCGACAGUGAGGGACGAAAGCUGGGGGAGCAAACCGGAUUAGAUACCCGGGUAGUCCCAGCUGUAAACGAUGCGCGUUAGGUGUAUCGGUGACCACGAGUCAUCGAGGUGCCGAAGGGAAACCG
rnacentral:rRNA from 1 species